rnacentral:rRNA from 1 species
GACGAGGGCGCGAGCGUUGUCCGGAUUUAUUGGGCGUAAAGAGCUCGUAGGCGGCUUGUCGCGUCGACUGUGAAAACUCGGGGCUCAACUCCGAGCUUGCAGUCGAUACGGGCAGGCUAGAGUUCGGUAGGGGAGACUGGAAUUCCUGGUGUAGCGGUGAAAUGCGCAGAUAUCAGGAGGAACACCGGUGGCGAAGGCGGGUCUCUGGGCAGUAACUGACGCUGAGGAGCGAAAGCGUGGGUAGCAAACAGG